AGACCUCGCAAGUAGGUAUGCCUUAGGGAAGAGCUUGCGUCACAUUAGCUUAGUUUGGUGGGGUAAAGGCCUACCAAGACUAUGAUGUGUAGCCGGACUGAGAGGUUGAACGGCCACAUUGGGACUGAGACACGGCCCAAACUCCUACGGGAGGCAGCAGUANGGAAUUUUCGGCAAUGGAGGAAACUCUGACCGAGCAACGCCGCGUGAAUGACGAAGUACUUUGGUAUGUAAAGUUCUUUUAUCAAGGAAGAAAAGCNNGUGGCGAACCAUUUGUUUGCCGGNACUUGAUGAAUAAGCCCCGUCUAAUUAUGUGCCAGCANCCGCGGUAANACAUAAGGGGCAAGUGUUAUCCGNAAUUAUUGGGCNUAAAGGGUGCGUANGCGGUCUAGUAAGUCAGUGGUGUAAUGGCAACGCUUAACGUUGUCCGGCUAUUGAAACUGCUAAACUUGAGUUAGAUAGAGGCGAGUGGAAUUCCAUGUGUAGCGGUAAAAUGCGUAAAUAUAUGGAGGAACACCAGAGGCGUACGCGGCUCGCUGGGUCUUAACUGACGCUGAGGCACGAAAGCGUGGGGAGCAAACAGGAUUAGAUACCCUGGUAGUCCACGCCGUAAACGAUGAGUACUAAGUGUCGGGUCAAACCGGUACUGAAGUUAACACAUUAAGUACUCCGCCUGAGUAGUACGUACGCAAGUAUGAAACUUAAAGGAAUUGACGGAACUCCGCACAAGCGGGGGAUCAUGUUGUUUAAUUCGAAGAUACCCGAAAAACCUUACCAGGUCUUGACAUGUUUUUGCGAAACGGUAGUAAUAUCGUGGAGGUUAUCA
rnacentral:rRNA from 1 species